rnacentral:rRNA from 1 species
UACGUAGGGCGCAAGCGUUGUCCGGAAUUAUUGGGCGUAAAGAGCUCGUAGGCGGUUUGUCGCGUCUGCUGUGAAAGCCCGGGGCUCAACCCCGGGUCUGCAGUGGGUACGGGCAGACUAGAGUGCAGUAGGGGAGACUGGAAUUCCUGGUGUAGCGGUGAAAUGCGCAGAUAUCAGGAGGAACACCGAUUGCGAAGGCAGGUCUCUGGGCUGUAACUGACGCUGAGGCGCGAAAGCAUGGGGAGCGAACAGG